AAAAAAUAAAAGGAAAAAACCACCCCGACCCGACCUCCACGGCUCCACCAGACCACCUUCACCCCGAUCCCCUGAUCCCAUCACCGCCCGGACAACCCCGCUGCCCCGCGACCUGCCGGGACUCCCCGCCACUGCCCGGCCUCCCGGAAUCCCCGCCGCUGCGCGACCUCCCUAGCCCCCGCCUCUGCUCCCCGACCCGACCUAGCUACUGCGGCCGCACCCCACCUCCGCCAGGAUCUCUCCUCCGCCACAACCACGCCAGCGAGCACCGCCCCUCUUCUCAUCCAUUUUAGCCAGGACCUCGCCUCGCCAGGACAACAACCCAGCCAUCCCCGCACGUCAAUGGGCUGCUGCCCCACUCCUCCAUCUCCCCGGUGAUGCUGCUGGGCGGAGGCUCCCCCACCGCGCAGCCUCCUACAGGUGCAGCUUCACUGCCGCACCACGGUGUUAAUCGGCGCCUCCUCUAGCCGUUCAGGCUACAACAGUUUUCUCCCUGAACACUUCUGGGGACCAAAAAAGGUGUGGUCGUGUAGCGGCCGCCGGCGAGGAUCAAUGGCACUGUAUGAUGCACUUCAAAGUGUUCGUGUUAAUGCCUCAAUGAAAAAUGAGUUGUGUAGUUUUGUAUUUCAGUGCGAGCACACUCAAAUCCUUGAAACUGCCCACGCCCAACUGAUUUGUCUUCGUGUUCGGCCUACAUAAGCUAUUUUUAUUUGUGUCUAAAGCAGAACUCAGGAAGUCAAUAUGCCACGUACGACGGCUAUGCGUCGUUCGCGGUGAAGUUCUACUACGGUUGUACACCAAGUUCAACUACAGGUAUAUGCUUAUAAACAUUAUUAGAGAAAACUAUAGGCCGCAGCCGUGCCCCUCCGCUGCACCGCCCAUCAUCACCCCCGUACACAGCCGGCCACCGGGCAACUCCUCCAGCGCGGGUGCAACACUACCGCUGCUCACAUCCUCGCCCCACUUGCUGGUGUCUUCCACUCUAGGCGCGGUUGUAGCAAGCAAACAAAAGCGCCACUGGUUCAUCCCGGAUGCUGCUUGUACUCCAUGUUAUGCAUUAUUGUCCUAGAUGGGGUUGCAGAAAAGGAUUGUGUAGUGUGGCGUGCGUGGCUGAGAAGAUGAUGUAAGAUGGAACAGGAUAGGGAUGGAACGUGUGGUGGGGAAAAUCAGAGUUAUACGCGGUAAAAAUAAUUCUUAGAUUUUCUGAAAAAAAGAGCAUAGAACAUGCUUGUUUUGA